AUAUUGGUCAAUGGGCGUAAGCCUGAACCAGCCAAGUCGCGUGAGGGAUGAAGGUUCUAUGGAUCGUAAACCUCUUUUAUAAGGGAAUAAAGUGCGGGACGUGUCCCGUUUUGUAUGUACCUUAUGAAUAAGGAUCGGCUAACUCCGUGCCAGCAGCCGCGGUAAUACGGAGGAUCCGAGCGUUAUCCGGAUUUAUUGGGUUUAAAGGGUGCGUAGGCGGCCUUUUAAGUCAGCGGUGAAAGUCUGUGGCUCAACCAUAGAAUUGCCGUUGAAACUGGGGGGCUUGAGUAUGUUUGAGGCAGGCGGAAUGCGUGGUGUAGCGGUGAAAUGCAUAGAUAUCACGCAGAACCCCGAUUGCGAAGGCAGCCUGCCAAGCCAUUACUGACGCUGAUGCACGAAAGCGUGGGGAUCAAACAGGAUUAGAUACCCUGGUAGUCCACGCAGUAAACGAUGAUCACUAGCUGUUUGCGAUACACUGUAAGCGGCACAGCGAAAGCGUUAAGUGAUCCACCUGGGGAGUACGCCGGCAACGGUGAAACUCAAAGGAAUUGACGGGGGCCCGCACAAGCGGAGGGACAUGUGGUUUAAUUCGAUGAUACGCGAGGAACCUUACCCGGGUUUGAACGCAUUCGGACCGAGGUGGAAACACCUUUUCUAGCAAUAGCCGUUUGCGAGGUGCUGCAUGGUUGUCGUCAGCUCGUGCCGUGAGGUGUCGGCUUAAGUGCCAUAACGAGCGCAACCCUUGCCACUAGUUACUAACAGGUAAAGCUGAGGACUCUGGUGGGACUGCCAGCGUAAGCUGCGAGGAAGGCGGGGAUGACGUCAAAUCAGCACGGCCCUUACAUCCGGGGCGACACACGUGUUACAAUGGCGUGGACAAAGGGAAGCCACCUGG
rnacentral:rRNA from 1 species